CAGAAGCGUAUAUUAAAGUUGUUGCAGUUAAAACGCUCGUAGUCGGGUUUCGGGUCGGGCCGAGCGGUCUGCCGAUGGGUAUGCACUGUUUGGCGCGGCCUUCUUUCCGGAGACCGCGGCUACUCUUAACUGAGCGGGCGUGGGAGACGGAUCGUUUACUUUGAAAAAUCAGAGUGUUUCAAGCAGGCAGCUCGCUCUUGCAUGGUACAGCAUGGGAUGAUUGAAUAGGACUCCGGUGCUAUUUUGUUGGUUUCGAACACCAGGAGUAAUGAUUAACAGGGACAGUCAGGGGCACUCGUAUUCCGUCGAGAGAGGUGAAAUUCUCAGACCAAUGGAAGACGAACCACUGCGAAAGCAUUUGCCAGGGAUGUUUUCACUGAUCAAGAACGAAAGUUAGGGGAUCGAAGACGAUCAGAU
rnacentral:rRNA from 1 species